UGGCGAAGGAGCGGCGGUUU
rnacentral:miRNA from 1 species